GUGAAUCAUCAAAUUUUUGAACGCAAAUUGCGCUUCCUGGCAUCCCGGGAAGUAUGCCUGUUGGAGGGUCAGUAGUAACUUAAAAUCGGUUUGGUUGCUAAGUGUGAUGUUCCCGGAGUUUGGGCUAUCUGAACUUUUAUGGUUAUGGGGCUUAAAAUUGAUCUUUGUUGCGCAUUUUUAGUCGUACAUAAAUUGUUUUUUUAUUCGUCGAUUAUUAAAGCCAAAA
rnacentral:misc_RNA from 1 species